rnacentral:tRNA from 1 species
GCCUGGGUGGCUCAGUAGGUUAAGUGUCUGACUUCAGCUCAGGUCAUAAUCUCAGGGUUUGUGAGUUCGAGUCCCACAUCGGGCU